AUGUUGCAGGAGGAUGGGGGUAUUGAUGAAGAUGUGAAUCAUCGAAUCAAAGCCGGAUGGAUGAAGUGGCGCCAAGCUUUUGGCAUUCUCUGUGACAAGAGAGUGCCACAAAAGCUAAAAGGCAAGUUCUACAGGACGGCGGUUCGACCUGCAAUGUUGUAUGGCGCGGAGUGUUGGCCGACUAAAAGGCGACAUGUUCAACAGUUAGGUGUGGCGGAGAUGCGUAUGUUGAGAUGGAUGUGUGGCCACACGAGGAAGAAUCGAGUCCGGAAUGAUGAUAUACGAGAUAGAGUUGGGGUAGCACCAAUUGAGGAGAAGCUUGUCCAACAUCGUCUGAGAUGGUUUGAGCAUAUUCAGCGCAGGCCUCCAGAAGCUCCAGUGCGUAGCGGACGGCUAAAGCGUGCGGAGAAUGCCAAGAGAGGGCGGGGUCGACCGAAUUUGACAUGGGAGGAGUCCGUUAAGAGAGACCUGAAGGAUUGGAGUAUCGACAAAGAGCUAGCUAUGUACAGGGGUGCGUGGAAGCUUGCUAUCCAUGUGCCAGAGCCAUGA
rnacentral:rRNA from 1 species